UCCCAAGGGGCUGUUGGUGACACUGGAGAUGUGAAAACUUGCUGGCUUUUCCCUGUUGUCCUAUAGCCCGGGUGGGGUAGGGAUGCAGCAAGGUCUCUGCCAUCCCACUGGGAUACCUGAGCCACUCAGGCUGCGUGCGCUUCCAAGGGAUCCAGCGUGCAGCGGCAGUUGGACUUGAUCUAAGAGGUCUUUUCCAACCUAGUGAUUCUAUGAUUCUUCAUUUGACAUCAUGAAGCUUGCUCCGAGUGCCCCCAAAAGCUGCAGGAAAGGGUUAGGAGUAAAAGGCAAUACAGCAAGCCAUCAGGCUGCCAGCCUCAUGGCUUUUCAUUCAUGCACCGGAGCUGAGGAUGGGAAUCCAAGGGUGGUGCAUUAGGUUUUGCACAGGAUGCUUUUGCGCACAGGCUGCAGCCCCGGCUGGGCUGGAGCAGCCCGGUCAGGAUUGCAUGGAGUAGCUGUUCACUAAGGCAAAGCAGGGACAAAUCCUGGCCCUCUUAUGUCUCUUUGCAGCAUCAUUGGAAAUGUUUUUAGGAGUCACCUCUGUGCAGGGUUUGUCAGUGCAAGCUGUCAAGCGGUGCUGCCACAUCCCGGGCAGGGAGCUCUUGGUGGCAGAGAUGCACUGGUGCCUGCAGAGCUCUGAUGAUGCCAAGAGACACCCAUGGGAAGAUCCGUGCAAGGACAUUCCCAUCUUGCUGAAAAUCACACAGAUUGCCUUAUGCCCUGAGGUCUGCAGCUCGCUUCGUGUGGCUUCUGGAUUUUUAUGGCGCUCUGUCUGUCUUGAACUGUCUGGAUGUUACUGGUUGCAUUGUGGGUGUGAGUUGAGGGCGUUUCUCCUUUCCUGCUCUGUGCCGCCAGCAGAAGGGGUUUGAGAUGCAUGGAUCUGGGAGCUCGGGGCAGAAUGGGUUUGCAGGAGGAGGCUGCUUGGCUGCAGUGCUAUGAAAACACCAUCCUCUGCCACCCGAGCCGUGCUGGUGGGGCUCUCAGCAUCCCCUCUGUGUGGAUGUGGGGUCUCCAAUUGCAGCCCCUACCUCAACAAUGCCUUUUCCAUGUUUUCUUCCCAUGCAGGAACCUUCUGCAGGGCUGACAGGCAGGUGUUUCUCCUUUCCCGAGACAUCAUGACUUUGUCUGCAAUCAGUGGUGUUCUGGCAGAAGCCACCUGUAUUGCUUCUGCAUCAUAGCAGCUGCCUCAGGAGACUGAUUUUGCUGCUGACCACAGUGCAAAUCACUUCUCUGACAGCUUUCCCUCUGCCAUCAAACCCUCCUGCUCCUUCUGCACCAUCUUGGUGAGGUUUUUAAGCGGGAUUUGUCCUCGUUCCCUUCCUCCGUUAAAUCUCAGGACCACCUAAAGGUGUGUGGUGGUGCCCAGGACAAGCCUGGCUGCACCCUGGAACCCUCCUCCCCACCAAACACCAGCCCACGGUGUCCAAAGAGAGGACGCGAGCUGCUGCCGUGCACGCAGACAAGCCUCAACUCCACAUUCCCUAAUAAAUUAAUCCACUUAUCUCCCCGUGAGCUGAUGCAAAACUGCAAAUAGACACCAGAGUGGGGUUUUCUCCCCCCUCUGAGCAGCCCCCAGCCUUUUGCUGCCUGCCUGGCUCCAUCCCGCUGUUUAUUCCCUAUAGAAAUGAGAAUUCCAGUUUAUCACGUCUGCCUGGCGGGCAGCAAGCCGCCAAGUGAGCGAGAAGGAGCCUGCAGCCGCUAGCCGGAGCGAGCUAGGAGAAAGCGCUAGGUAAUAGAGGUAUUUAUUAAAGGAGGGAGGAAAUUUAUAUGCUAUUCCUGCUUCCUCAGCUCUCAGUCAUCGCCAAGGGGAGAGGAGGAGUGGGCAGCUUGCGCAGGAAAUAGCCAGAAGUCUGUUUUCUGCCCAUUUGUCAGUCUGAUGAACAAGAAAAAUAGAGGCGGUUUUGAUGAAGGUGAAAGAGAGAGUCUGGAGGAGGCUGUUAUCCAGCUACAUGAAAGAAGCUGGCUUUUUGCUGACACUUUCUUGCUGGGAAUUGACUGCUGCCUGAAUCAUCCAUCCAGGGCCAUUUGUUCAUAAAAAGCUGCUGGCGUGGCUGGACGAUGCUUUUCCUUUGGCAGAGACAAAUAGACAGAGCCAGACCCUCCGGCAUCCCGGCUGCUGCUUCUGCACUCGGAUGUGAUAAAUACAUCCCAGGAGAAAGCGCAGAAAGCAAUGGCCCAGCCUGAAGAGGGGUCAGCCCUGGGGCAGGAGGAGUUCUGUAUGACGUGGGACCCAUCGCAGUCCUUGCAGCCUCACCUGUCCACGCUCAUCCCUGUUUUUCGAGGCAGGAGCUGGGUUUGUGCCCUGUAGUUGCAGCCACCGUGGGGCGAAAACCAAAGAAAUGGCCCCUUGCGGAGCUCUCCUGCCUCAUCCCUGUGGAUGUCUCCAAAUUAAGGACGUUAUUAACUACAAGCUGCUUUUCCCUUGACUGCUGCUUGCACAAACGAUAACUGAUUUAAAAUGAAUUGAGCCAAUUACUGCAGUUUUCCUAAAACAGAUGAUGGCAAUACUUGGGUAAGGAGGAGCAAUCCCAGCUGCAGCAGGGAGAAGAGUUAGACACUCAAAUACCCUUUGGGCUCAGAUUUCCAGCUGUUUCCUGGCAAAGGCUGGCUGCUUCCCUCAAUUGUAUGGGAAUUUAGGUGGUAGCAGCCAGGGAUGCUGAGCAACCUCAGGUCAGCGGUGCUGCUGGAGGUGAUGGAACCUGUGCUGUGUGCGGUUAUCUGCGGUGAGUGAGUGAUGCUGGGAUGAUCCUGGCUGCCUGUGAACUAACAGUGCCUGAAAAUACCGAUGUAUUUCUGGAAAAGUGGAAGGCAAUAACUCCUGGAUGAUUCUUUCAAAGAUCCGAUCCACAUCUGAAAUUCAUCAAACUUUAAAGAACAAAUAAUUGUCACUGGAUGUCUUGUCCUUGGAGUAUGAGGAGCUUUAAUGAAAAGGAAGCAUAAUGAAGAUGGAUUAAAGCUUAAUCGGGUGAAAAUGAGUUAAAGAAUCCUGAAAUCGGGUUCCCAUUUGUCUGCCUUUCCAUGUCAUGAGAAAUAUUGAUUUCCUUCUGCAAGCAGCGGUGACAUCAUGCCAUGGUCCCAGUGGAGAGGGAUUCCAGAAGAGACGUGCCAUUGCUUUCUGGGAUGAGGAGAGGCUGAGCGCUGUGCUGCUGCUUAGCCAGCUCGGCUUGCUGCAUGGUCUGAGCCCUCGACGUGCGGACACCACAGGCUGAGCCAAAGAAGAGGUUGGCUUUGCCCUGGAAUAAAGCAGCUCCUCCUUUGCACGGUGGAUGACUUCAAGCUGUCUGCACCUCUGAGCAUCUCUCGACCAGCUGUGCUCAGGAUCCUAUCUGGACAACAACCACCUCGAGAUGGCUCCUUGCAGCAGGGCGGAUGCACCAAGGAGCAUCAUCGCAUGACACCAAGAAGCGAGCAGCCCUCACCUGUAACUGCAGCAUUUAAAGCGAGGAGGGGAUACACAUCCGGGCACCGCGCUCUGUGUUGGGAUGUGCUGUUCUCGAAGGUAAUAUAUCGUACUCAAAAGUCUAAGGGGUGAGGUGAGCAAAGCCGAGGAGGCUUCCUUCGCAGGUGGCACGCUCAAUCCCUCACUAUAAAAAAGCCUCCACUGCUCCUCUGCUUCUCCCUUGCUUCAAAGAACAAAAGGAAAUGGGUUUGUUGCUUUGUAGGCGAAGGAAAGGAGACUCCUGAGACCUGGGGAGAACGGGCUAUGAAUUAUUCAGGGUAGCUGUCGGCGCAGGAAUGGUGCCAAGAGCUGCUCCUGCCGUGACUCCAGUAGCGGAUGGAUGCAGGAGGAUGCCUGGAGAGCAGGGGCUGAGGGCAGCAUCCUUCCCCCCUGCCACGGGCACGGCUGUGCUGGUGGUUUGGAGGAAAAGAUGUUUUCUAUUCCGCAAUCCCCACCCCAGGGGCAAACCUUGGGCUUUCCCACUACUUUUGGUUGUUUUGGACCAAAAGAGGAGGAAAAAUACCUGAGAGAAGGGUUCUCCGUGUGCUGAACGAGGAGGAUGGUGAAGAGGGAAGAGCUCCCGGCAGCAAAUGCGCUCAGGAUUGCACUCCAGACAGUUCAGUAACAAAUUCACUGACACAGGGAACAAUUUUUCCCUGACUCUGCCAAUUCCUUAACGACGCUGACUCGAAUGGUCCUGUGGGGAGGGGAACUUGAACUCUGCAAAACGCUCUCUGCUGAAGCUUUAUUUAAGGCUACGUGGAGGGAUGCUUAAAUAUUAAAGGCCAAAAUAAAAAGGGCUGUGGUACAAGCGGUGGCACCGGCUGCUCUGUCUGUGUCUCUUUUUACUUCUAAAUGCCUUUG